UAAACCCUGUCCUGUGCGUGAUAGAUUUGUUUAAACCCACAUCGCAAAUAAGGGACGCCGACUCUCUCUGUGAAUUGCAGGCCUCCCGCGGACUUGUCUGCGGAAGUUGGAAGCAGCGAAGCAGACAGGAGGCGACCCACCUGCCGAGAAGGCGGGUUAUUAACGGUCUACACGGCAGGCUGGGGCUUUA
rnacentral:other from 1 species